rnacentral:rRNA from 1 species
UACGAAGGGGGCUAGCGUUGCUCGGAAUCACUGGGCGUAAAGGGUGCGUAGGCGGGUCUUUUAAGUCAGGGGUGAAAUCCUGGAGCUCAACUCCAGAACUGCCUUUGAUACUGGCGACCUUGAGUCCGGGAGAGGUGAGUGGAACUGUGAGUGUAGAGGUGAAAUUCGUAGAUAUUCGCAAGAACACCAGUGGCGAAGGCGGCUCACUGGCCCGGUACUGACGCUGAGGUGCGAAAGCGUGGGGAGCAAACAGG